rnacentral:rRNA from 1 species
AACGAACGCUGGCGGCAUGCCUAACACAUGCAAGUCGAACGAGACCUUCGGGUCUAGUGGCGCACGGGUGCGUAACGCGUGGGAACCUGCCCUUAGGUUCGGAAUAACUCCCCGAAAGGGGUGCUAAUACCGGAUAAUGUCUUCGGACCAAAGAUUUAUCGCCUUUGGAUGGGCCCGCGUUGGAUUAGCUAGUUGGUAGGGUAAAAGCCUACCAAGGCGACGAUCCAUAGCUGGUCUGAGAGGAUGAUCAGCCACACUGGGACUGAGACACGGCCCAGACUCCUACGGGAGGCAGCAGUGGGGAAUAUUGGACAAUGGGCGAAAGCCUGAUCCAGCAAUGCCGCGUGAGUGAUGAAGGCCUUAGGGUUGUAAAGCUCUUUUCCCCGGGAUGAUAAUGACAGUACCGGGAGAAUAAGCUCCGGCUAACUCCGUG